GCGUCCCAUUUCGCCUUUCGUCGUCCCUUCUUGUGGCGACGCGGGGUGAACCUCGAAGUAAUCUCUGCGUCCCUCUCCACCCGCAUUCGGUUGUGGUCGUGGACUGGUCCGCAGGGUAUUCGCUUGAGCUCUCGGAUGCGGUGCAUUAUAUACGGGCAUAAGGGACUCGCGUCCCCUGUUUGCCCGAACAAAAGCUUUCGUCUUUUAUUGCGAACGAUUGCGGUCCCCGUUUCGAGCCUUCGGCAAUUGCGGGGUCGCUUCGUGAGGAAAUGCUA
rnacentral:misc_RNA from 1 species